rnacentral:tRNA from 1 species
AGCCCUGUAGCUCAAUGGUGGAGCAACUGUCCUACAAACAGAGGGUUACAGGUACCCUGUGGGAAGCCGCUCCGCGUCUACAAAUCCUGUCAGGGCUA